GCAUUGGUGGUUCAGUGGUAGAAUUCUCGCCUUCCAUGAGGGAGACCCGGGUUCAAUUCCUGGCCAGUGCA
rnacentral:tRNA from 1 species